rnacentral:rRNA from 1 species
AUUGAACGCUAGCGGGAUGCCUUACACAUGCAAGUCGAACGGAGUGGCGAACGGGUGAGUAAUGUAUCGGAACGUGCCCAGUAGUGGGGGAUAAAUACGCGAGAGCGUAGCCAAUACCGCAGACUAUAGGAGCGGCUGAUAUCGGAUUAGCUAGUUGGUGGGGUAACGGCUCACCAAGGCGACGAUCCGUAGCUGGUUUGAGAGGACGACCAGCCACACUGGGACUGAGACACGGCCCAGACUCCUACGGGAGGCAGCAGUGGGGAAUUUUGGGCAAUGGGGGAAACCCUGAUCCAGCAAUCCCGCGUGUGUGAUGAAGGCUUUCGGGUUGUAAAGCACUUUUGGCAGGAAAGCGGUACCUGCAGAAUAAGCACCGGCUAACUACGUGCCAGCAGCCGCGGUAAUAC